UACGUAGGAUGCAAGCGUUGUUCGGAAUUACUGGGCGUAAAGCGUACGUAGGCGGCUUUGUAAGUUAGAGGUGAAAGCCCGGGGCUCAACUCCGGAAUUGCCUUUAAGACUGCAUCGCUUGAAUCAUGGAGAGGUGAGUGGAAUUCCGAGUGUAGAGGUGAAAUUCGUAGAUAUUCGGAAGAACACCAGUGGCGAAGGCGACUCACUGGACAUGUAUUGACGCUGAGGUACGAAAGCGUGGGGAGCAAACAGG
rnacentral:rRNA from 1 species